rnacentral:rRNA from 1 species
CUAAAUACUACCCAGUGACCGAUAGCGUAUAGUACUGUGAAGGAAAGGUGAAAAGCACCCCGGGAGGGGAGUGAAAAAGAACCUGAAACCCUGUGCCUACAAGCACCUAGAGCGCGUCAAUGCGUGAUAGGGUACUUUUUGUAGAACGGUCCGGCGAGCGAUUGUAUGCAGCAAGGUUAAGGACUUAAGGUCUGGAGCCGAAGCGAAAGCGAGUUUGAAAAGGGCGUUAAGUUGCAUAUAAUGGGCCCGAAACCGGGUGACCUACCCAUGGUCAGGUUGAAGUGGAAGUAAAAUUCCAUGGAGGACCGAACCGACCUCCGUUGAAAAGGCGGCGGAUGAACUGUGGGUAGCGGAGAAAUUCCAAUCGAACCCGGAGAUAGCUGGUUCUCCCCGAAAUAGUUUUAGGACUAGCCUCAAGUUAGAUACCUGGAGGUAAAGCACUGAAUAGCCUAGCGGCCGAGAGGUUAGCGAAGCUUAUCAAACUCAGAAUGCCAGAGUAUUGAUGCUUGGGAGUCAGACAGUGUCAGAUAAAUGUCAUUGUCAAAAGGGAAACAGCCCAGAUCUACAGCUAAGGUCCCAAAGUCAGGUUAAGUGGAAAACGAUGUGAAGAUACGUAGACAACCAGGAUGUUGGCUCAGAAGCAGCCACUCAUUCAAAGAGUGCGUAAUAGCUCACUGGUCGAGCGUCUUUGCGCGGAGAAUUUAACGGGGCUAAACCUGACACCGAAGCUUAGGCAGCAUGUUUACAUGCUGGGUAGGGGAGCGUUGUAUACGCGGUGAAACAGUAGCGCAAGCGGCUGUGGAGUGUAUAGAAGUGAGAAUGCCGGAAUGAGUAGCGCGAAUGCAGUGAGAAUCUGCAUGGCCGAAAGCCUCAGGUUUCUGGAGGAAGGUUCGUCCGCUCCAGGUCAGUCGGGAGCUAAGGUGAGGCCUAACGGCGUAGCCGAUGCACAGACGGUAGAGAUUCCGUCACCACCAAAAGAGUUAAACACAGGGACACAUAUGAAGUCUCGGAGCCGGGUGUUGGUUCCGGUAGCGAUCGAGGGAAGUUAGUACCGAAGUCUGAGAUGGAAGAUGGCGAGAAAAGCUGUGUGUAUUUCUGCGGUGCCCGUACCGCAAACCGACACAGGUAGGUAGGAAGAAGAUUCUAAGGCCAACGGGAGAAGGGUUGUUAAGGAACUCGGCAAAUUGACCCCGUAACUUCGGGAGAAGGGGUGCUGCAGCAAUGCAGCCGCAGAGAAUCGGCCCAAGCAACUGUUUACCAAAAACACAGGUUUGUGCUAAAUCGAAAGAUGACGUAUACGAGCUGACGCCUGCCCGGUGCUGGAAGGUUAAGAGGAGAUGUGCAAGCAUUGAAUCGAAGCCCCAGUGAACGGCGGCCGUAACUAUAACGGUCCUAAGGUAGCGAAAUUCCUUGUCAGGUAAG